rnacentral:rRNA from 1 species
GAAUAUUGGACAAUGGGCGAAAGCCUGAUCCAGCAAUGCCGCGUGAGUGAUGAAGGCCUUCGGGUUGUAAAGCUCUUUUACCCGGGAUGAUAAUGAAAGUACCGGGAGAAUAAGCACAGGCUAACCCCGUGCCAGCCGCCGCGGUAAUACGGAGGGGGCUAGCGUGGUUCGGAAUUACUGGGCGUAAAGCGCACGUAGGCGGCUUUGUAAGUUAGAGGUGAAAGCCCGGGGCUCAACUCCGGAAUUGCCUUUAAGACUGCAUCGCUUGAACAUCGGAGAGGUAAGUGGAAUUCCGAGUGUAGAGGUGAAAUUCGUAGAUAUUCGGAAGAACACCAGUGGCGAAGGCGACUUACUGGACGAUUGUUGACGCUGAGGUGCGAAAGCGUGGGGAGCAAACAGG